rnacentral:lncRNA from 1 species
GAUGUUUUAAAAAGCAAAAUUGUCUGUGACCUUAUCCAGUCAGAAUUGUGAAAAUCCCCAAAUUUAUAGCUUUAUGAUCAAGCAUAGUGAUUUUCUUUUUCUUCUUCUUUCUUUGGUGUGGAGAUUGGACUCAAGUCUCCUGCAUGGUCAUCUGAUCCAAGAAGCAGUUGAAGGAUGGGUCCUCCAGAGGGCAGGGCUAGAGGGGCAAGAUCCUGGCACCACCCUGUUUCAUCAGACCUGCUGAUCCUCAGGGGACCCAGCUGUGUGAGACUCAGCCUUUCCACCCCAGCAUCCAAGAGACCCCCUUUCUUCUGCCUCACGUUCACUGUCCAGGGACAUAUCCCCUGAAGGGAUGCUAAGGGGAAUGUCCAGGGGAAUCUAGUGCUGGAGGACAUUCACGAACACCAGAGAAUUGGGUGGGCUUGACUCUCUUUUCAGGUCUCUGGGGAAAGGGUGAAGAGGAGGCAGUCGGGGCAGGGCUUUUCCUCCUGCAAACAGUGCAUCCCAGUGGGCUCUGCAGAAGCCUUGGC